rnacentral:lncRNA from 1 species
GCCGAAUCAAAACAAGUCGUUGAUACGUUUGUGUUCCAGUCAGCUGGACGGAGGCAACGUUGAGGGGUUGACACGGGAGAAAAAUGUCUCUAACAGAAGAACUGUGGCUUUAUAAUCAGCACAGGAAGUAUAGAGGCCAACUGUGGACUGGUUCCUUAUUUGAUGAUGAAUCACCAUGGAGAUGUACAAGCUCUACCUUAUCUUAGGGGUCGGCAACCUCCGGUCCGCAGAGCCUGAACUCAUGGCCCAUCACCCUGCUUGAUGUUUAUAUAACAAUCCAGCCUAGCCAACUAGAUGUCAAAUUGUGGAAGAAGCGGCUCAAGUGAGGGUUGAUUAACCUCUACAUUAGGCCUGAUGCAAUGUCAAAUGCAACCCAAAAGGUACUGAGAGAGGACAUCUUGACUCCAAAGUGUUCUUGCUCUCCAAACCACUUACUGCAGGGCAACAGAACAUGAGAUAUAUGUCGAGGAAUCACCAUACCUAUCCAUCUAUCAACGAAUAUUCACGGGUUGGACAACAGCUUCCUUGUUUUGAAUAAGAAUCAGAACCAAAUGUUGUCGCCAUAUUUGACAAUGACCAUCAAAGGAAACAAAAAUUUUCCAUCAACUUUAUGUAUUAUAGAGGCAUAAAGAAAAUUAAAGCUUUACCCAGGUAUUGGAAAAUGGUUGUUCAUUGGGAUAGGCAAGAUAUUGUCCUCCAGCCAGCAGUGCGGCUUACCAGUAACCCAACAUCUCAAAAACAGUAUUGCUUUGCUGAGGGUCAUGUACUGCUUGUGACUGUGGUUCAAAGUGGUUUUCUGCUAAUCUUAGAAGCUGAUAACAUUUCUUGUCUCACCAAGGGUGUAAUAAUGAGGAAAAGCAAACUCUCAUUUGGUACAUCAAUGAACCACGAUGGUACUAAAUAAUUAGUUUUGAUACAGUCGUAUUAUGCAACAAAUGUUGAUUGAACCAGAGGCAUAGUCAGGAUUUUAGCAUGGGGUGGGAUGGGUUUAAGCUCCUAGAACUUUCAAGCAUAUGGAGUUAGUGAUGCUUCUCCCUUGGCCCUUGCAGGAUUUAAUUGUUUUCACUUUUGUUAUACCAAUACUUUGUAUAAGUCAUAAGUGAACUGUUCUAAGUUAAAUAUUUGGUAAAUGAUGAACUGAUCUUAACCCCUUAAUGCCAGAUAACGUCAAGUUCACACCAUGGCAUGGCUGGUCUUCCUGUUGGAUAAUGUAAAUGUCUUGUCAUGGCUUUGUUUGGCCUUAACACAUAGCUUUUCUCUUAGAGCUAUGCUACUGGAUUGACCAAGUUAAUUAACUUGAUAACAGCCUGUCUUAAUUCCAGGGUAUUUAGAUACACGCAGGUCUAAUGCCUCAGGCUGUUCACCUGCACAAACCACAGCCACCCGCUAUGUACAUGAUCAUCAGGCUUGCCAGCCAUACAAAUAGCCAUGAUGAGAUAUUGUGUCCCCGGAAGCAAGUGCUGCUACCACAUGAAGUAAUAUCAUAUCAUCUGUUGUUAACAUGUGUAUUAACCCAUUGUGGAUGGGUGUCAUGACAUACAUAUCACAGGAACUCUGGCCUGACAACAGGCGUCAUGAUGUACAUGAUGUUUGGGGAUUUUGGAUUACUGUGCUAUUCUAUUGUGCUCUCAGUAAGGAGUGAGUGUUGAUGACAAUUGCAGUCAUAAUUACUAUAAUUACCAUAAUAUUAAGCAAACCUAACAUCCAAAACCUAGAUGGCACCACUUCCUUCUAGCACCAGCAAGAGAGAGAGCCUUGAAUGGCACCCAUCCAUGGUCUCUAACAAGCACUACCUUUAUAGAGCGAUGGCACACAGCAAGUUACCGACCUCAAACUAUGCCCAGUGCCUAAAAUGUGCCCUUGUGCCAGUAGGGAUGCCUUUUAUUGUGGCACUCAUAGUCAUAAGCACAAGUUUUCUUCUUCUUCCCUAUCCCUUCAUGUUAUCUUAACUGUAGAUGGUCAUAUGUUUCAUAUUCAUUCAUAACAGUUCAUGAAUAUGAAAAAUUCAAGUUGUUUUUUGUCCUCUCAUAAAACAGCAAUACUUUUAUCAAAUUGAGUAUAAAGAAAACUGAGCUGAUAUGGA